AGCAGCCGCGGUAAUUCCAGCUCCAAUAGCGUAUAUUAAAGUUGUUGCAGUUAAAAAGCUCGUAGUUGAAUUUCGGGGUUCUACCGUCGGUCGGGCUAACAAGUCUGUACUGGUGUGUAGAACUUCUACCUUCUGGGGAGCUAUCAUGUUAUUAAUUUAGCGUGGUAGGAAACCAGGACCUUUACCUUGAAAAAAUUAGAGUGUUCAAAGCAGGCUUAAGUCUGAAUACAUUAGCAUGGAAUAAUAGAAUAGAACGGUGGUCCUGUUUUGUUGGUUUCUGAAUCACCGUAAUGAUUAAUAGGGAUAGUUGGGGGCAUUAGUAUUCAAUUGUCAGAGGUGAAAUUCUUGGAUUUAUUGAAGACUAACUUCUGCGAAAGCAUUUGCCAAGGAUGUUUUCAUUAAUCAAGAACGAAAGUUAGGGGAUCGAAGACGAUCAGAUACCGUCGUAGUCUUAACCAUAAACUAUGCCGACUAGGGAUCGGACGAUGUUAAUUUUUUAAUGACUCG
rnacentral:rRNA from 1 species